UGGGGAAUUUUGCACAAUGUGGGAAACCCUGAUGCAGCGACGCCGCGUGAUUUAGAAGGCCUUCGGGUUGUAAAAAUCUUUUCUAUGGGAAGAAAAUGACAGUACCAUAGGAAUAAGGACCGGCUAAUUACGUGCCAGCAGCCGCGGUAAUACGUAUGGACCGAGCGUUGUCCGGAAUCAUUGGGCGUAAAGGGUACGUAGGCGGGUAAGCAAGUUAGAAGUGAAAUCCUAUAGCUCAACUAUAGUAAGCUUUUAAAACUGCUCAUCUUGAGGUAUGGAAGGGAAAGUGGAAUUCCUAGUGUAGCGGUGAAAUGCGCAGAUAUUAGGAGGAAUACCGGUGGCGAAGGCGACUUUCUGGCCAUAACCUGACGCUGAGGUACGAAAGCGUGGGUAGCAAACAGG
rnacentral:rRNA from 1 species